AGCUUCAAUCAUUUCAUCUAUAGCCUGAGCACAUGAGAUCUCAUACACUAAGGAGGGUCAGGCCUGGUUAGUACUUUGGUGGGAAACCUAUAUGGAAUGCACAAGUCCUGCAGGAA
rnacentral:rRNA from 1 species